CACACACCCUCUCUCUCAGCACAAUAUAUGUAUGUAUCAAUACUGCAUAUUAUUUUGUAGCCGGCACAAAUCACAGCUGUCUGGGACAUAUGGGCAUGUGAAGGUUGAUGUGUCUUUUUUUUUCUUUCUUUUUUUUGUUUAUUCCAUUAUCUGGCCGGGUCUGAAAAAUAGAGCCAUUCUGCAGUGGAAGGAUGUGCAUUGCUGAGGUCAGGCCAGUUUCAGAAGCACCCAUCCAUGACUUCCAAAGACCGGGAGAGGAAACGGCUCUGGUGACGGAGAACCAUUCUGAUUGAGAGGUCAUGCAGUGUACUGACAAAAGAGAACAUGGAGGCAGCAGGCAAGGAACAGGUAACCACUGCGGCUCAAGGCUGAUUGGUAAUGUCUGGAGGACGUUUAUCAGAGGCUGGAGAAAAUAAGCCCCCUUCGCAGGCACACUCUUCCAGGGUGACUUACAGGAGCACCAUGAAUCUGAAAGGGGAAGGAGGAGAAGAGGAACAAAACAGACAAGCA